rnacentral:rRNA from 1 species
GAUGAACGCUGGCGGCGUGCCUAAUACAUGCAAGUCGAGCGAACGGACGAGAAGCUUGCUUCUCUGAUGUUAGCGGCGGACGGGUGAGUAACACGUGGAUAACCUACCUAUAAGACUGGGAUAACUUCGGGAAACCGGAGCUAAUACCGGAUAAUAUUUUGAACCGCAUGGUUCAAAAGUGAAAGACGGUCUUGCUGUCACUUAUAGAUGGAUCCGCGCUGCAUUAGCUAGUUGGUAAGGUAACGGCUUACCAAGGCAACGAUGCAUAGCCGACCUGAGAGGGUGAUCGGCCACACUGGAACUGAGACACGGUCCAGACUCCUACGGGAGGCAGCAGUAGGGAAUCUUCCGCAAUGGGCGAAGGCCUGACGGAGCAACGCCGCGUGAGUGAUGAAGGUCUUCGGAUCGUAAAACUCUGUUAUUAGGGAAGAACAUAUGUGUAAGUAACUGUGCACAUCUUGACGGUACCUAAUCAGAAAGCCACGGCUAACUACGUGCCAGCAGCCGCGGUAAUACGUAGGUGGCAAGCGUUAUCCGGAAUUAUUGGGCGUAAAGCGCGCGUAGGCGGUUUUUUAAGUCUGAUGUGAAAGCCCACGGCUCAACCGUGGAGGGUCAUUGGAAACUGGAAAACUUGAGUGCAGAAGAGGAAAGUGGAAUUCCAUGUGUAGCGGUGAAAUGCGCAGAGAUAUGGAGGAACACCAGUGGCGAAGGCGACUUUCUGGUCUGUAACUGACGCUGAUGUGCGAAAGCGUGGGGAUCAAACAGGAUUAGAUACCCUGGUAGUCCACGCCGUAAACGAUGAGUGCUAAGUGUUAGGGGGUUUCCGCCCCUUAGUGCUGCAGCUAACGCAUUAAGCACUCCGCCUGGGGAGUACGACCGCAAGGUUGAAACUCAAAGGAAUUGACGGGGACCCGCACAAGCGGUGGAGCAUGUGGUUUAAUUCGAAGCAACGCGAAGAGCCUUACCAAAUCUUGACAUCCUUUGACAACUCUAGAGAUAGAGCCUUCCCCUUCGGGGGACAAAGUGACAGGUGGUGCAUGGUUGUCGUCAGCUCGUGUCGUGAGAUGUUGGGUUAAGUCCCGCAACGAGCGCAACCCUUAAGCUUAGUUGCCAUCAUUAAGUUGGGCACUCUAAGUUGACUGCCGGUGACAAACCGGAGGAAGGUGGGGAUGACGUCAAAUCAUCAUGCCCCUUAUGAUUUGGGCUACACACGUGCUACAAUGGACAAUACAAAGGGCAGCGAAACCGCGAGGUCAAGCAAAUCCCAUAAAGUUGUUCUCAGUUCGGAUUGUAGUCUGCAACUCGACUACAUGAAGCUGGAAUCGCUAGUAAUCGUAGAUCAGCAUGCUACGGUGAAUACGUUCCCGGGUCU